UUUUGAAUAAACAAAAUUAAGUCAUGUCAUACUAUAUUGAAAACAUAAAGAUGUGAUACAAUCUUAUCUUUCGACACAGAAAAAAAUAAUUAACAAUAAAGAGAAAGGGAAGAAAGAGUAGUCGAGGGGGUUAUCCAUGACCAUUUUAUAAUAAGAAGAGGAAAUAGUUAAGCUGCAAGGGGUUAUCUGUGAUUGCUCAUGGCAGCUUCCCAUGGUGGCUCUCCUCCUUGUCUUUAUGCUAAAUAAUCUAAACGCCUUCAAGUCAUCCUUCCUAGCUAUUCUCACUUUUGGCAAGUGUAUGCCUUAUUUUAUGGUAAUCAAGUGAUUAGUAAGCCAUGUAAAAGGUAAGAACACUCAAAGGAAUUUUUCUCUAAAAACUAAUGUG
rnacentral:lncRNA from 1 species